CACUCCCCCUCCCCAAGACAGUCUGAGAUUCAAAUUGCAGUUGGAAAAUGUAUCACUUGAGAGAAAGCUCUUCCAGGGGAAAGAAUUCGAAUUGAAGCGAAAGGGAGAUCAGAGGAGAGAGAGGGAGACCCCGCCCCGAUAGUCCAGAACAAGCUGUAACAAAGCAAAGUCCACGGGAGCUUCACGCUCAACCCUCCAACCUGGCUGCGGGCACCAGAGAAGUUCUCCUAACUCAAGCUAAGAAUAGGGAAAAGAAGUCAAGCUCGGGGCCCGGCCCUGCCCCCCGCGGGCGGGGCUGGGGGAGGGGAGGUUUCUCUAGCCGGCUGAAGCUCCCUUGCUUUACCCCGGCCCCUUGGCUGCGGCGGGCUGGGCUGGGGGAGGGGCGCUGAGCCGCAGUGGAGCCUGCCCGGACCUUGUGCUGAGCCGGGUCCAGGGCCAGGGACCCGAGGCCGGACCCAGGCUGACAGCGGCGUACUGGGAGCCGGUGGGGAGAUGGUCAUAGCCGGGACCGCGCAACUGCAGGAGGACGACCAGGAGGAAGUGUUAGGGGAAACCAAGCCUCAGCUCAGCCCGGGCGGCCAGCACCUACCUGAUUCCAGGAAACCGGAGUCCUGCGGCGGCAGGAGAGGUUUGUUGCCAAGUAAGACGGCGGGCAAAGGGCUCCUCCAAGUUUCUGCGCUGGAGUCACAACCCAAGAGGCAUCACCGUCUGGCGUUAGUGUCUGAGAAGCCGCAGGAAUGAGCAGGAGCAGCAGGAGGAGCUGGAGGACUUGUUUUCUGAGGCCAGUAUUCUGUUCAAAAGUUUGCAGACGCACAGAACUAGAAGGAAGCGUGACACCGAGAGAAGGGGGCGAGGAGAGAGAUGGAGAAGGAAGAAAGAGGAGGCGAGGAGCUCAAGUGGGGGUGGGAGACAAAGUGGCCUAAGUCCACCAGGAGAAAGAAUCACGUAAUGAUCGGGUAUCAGAAAAAGACGUCAGCAUCCUAGUCCCUCAAGGAACAUAUUAACUAUUCUGUGCUGUCCUCUUGGAUGAUAAGAUCCGGAGUCAUCGACUUCUCAUAAACACCUUUCACUCAUACAAUCCAAUUUUUAAGAUGUGCAGUUAUUUUGAUGGUUUUCAAUUUUACCCAUUUCUCAAGAUGGGUAACGAAUUCAUAGAAUUUCAAGGAUGGUAAAAGUCAUGUUUUUAAUUAUGUCACUACGAUUUCUCUUUACUUUUCAUCAAGCCCCAGCAAUCAGAGCUCUGGUCUCUGGAAUUAAGCACCAUCAAGCUCUCCUAUUAAUAAAUU